rnacentral:rRNA from 1 species
UAAUACGUAGGGUGCGAGCGUUGUCCGGAAUUACUGGGCGUAAAGAGCUUGUAGGCGGUUUGUCGCGUCUUCUGUGAAAACUUGGGGCUCAACCUUAAGCUUGCAGGGGAUACGGGCAGACUAGAGUACUUCAGGGGAGACUGGAAUUCCUGGUGUAGCGGUGAAAUGCGCAGAUAUCAGGAGGAACACCGGUGGCGAAGGCGGGUCUCUGGGAAGUAACUGACGCUGAGAAGCGAAAGCAUGGGUAGCAAACAGGAUUAGAUACCCUGGUAGUCCAUGCCGUAAACGGUGGGUACUAGGUGUGGGUUUCCUUCCACGGGAUCCGUGCCGUAGCUAACGCAUUAAGUACCCCGCCUGGGGAGUACGGCCGCAAGGCUA